rnacentral:tRNA from 2 species
GGUCCGAUGGCAGAAUGGCUAUGUAGCGGACUGCAAAUCCGUGUAUGUGGGUUCGAUUCCCGCUCGGACCUCCA